UCUUUUCCUUAUAAGGUAUACAUCCCUAUGGCUGAAGUUGAAUGACAGCCUCUCUCAGGCCAUGACAGGAUGACAAGGUGAGCUACAAGGAAACUGCAGUGAAGUUUGGCUCCAAGCAUGACACAGACAUGGGCUGACCUUGAACAAUUAUGUGGAAAAAGUGUGCUAAUUUCAGUAAAAAGACAUCCUGCUGUUGUAAACUAGAAGGAAAGACGUUCCAGUGUUAAUCUCCAAGUGUAGCACCGUUAAGCGGCACAACUGACAUUCCCAAGGAGCCCACUACAAAGGCUGACUGGUUUAUUACAACCUUGGCCCUACUGAAGGCCUGGCGCAGACAGCAAGUCUCCUUCUGAAACUAUGUAAGAGUAUAACACAACAGGUAACUGAUGAAAAAAAAAAACAUCCAGAGAACUUAGUGGCUGGGAUUUGAAGUUAAAAGUGGGACAGUAAGGAUACAUUUUGGUAAUGACAACAUGACAUUUUCCAAGACAGACCAACAGCUCCCUAUGUGGCUCUAAGUCUGCUCAGCGAUACAGAAUGAAUUCAGGCUGGGCACGGUGGCUCACGUCUGUAAUCUCAGCACUUUGGGAGGCCGAGGUGGGCAGAUCAUAGCUGUGUCUAUACUCCUGCAAUGAAAUGGAAAGUGUGCUGUUCUUAACAGUUGAGCUUUACACAUAGGGGCAAACAAGUUGUGUAUGCGUGUAACUGUAGACAGCAGAUGUUGGAGAGCACCUUCUGAGAUUACUCAGUCUACUUUCUGCCUUCUGGCAGGAGUAGACACAGCCAAAAUCAGAGGGGUAAUUGACUGCUUUGCUUGGAGGAGAUGACAGAAAAAAAAAGACUAAACGCUACCUACGCUCAAUGUUCCACACCUCUUAAGCCAGUAAUCCUGUAUCUGGUGUCGGGCAGCAAAGAAAAUAAAAUAUACCUCGUCUGUGCUCCAUUUGGAAACUUUACUGGCAGGGAUUCCUGCGACAGUUGGAAGAAGUUUGCUUUGCUGCUCCCAGCGCAAGGGCAGACAUGGAAUUGGGGACUUAAAGGACAGAAAGACAGCUGACCGACGCUGUGCCUGCUGGACGGUGGGUUCUUCCCGGGCACCUGGUCAAUGAAAACAAAUGGGAAAUCACUCUCUGAAAGCA
rnacentral:lncRNA from 1 species